rnacentral:lncRNA from 1 species
CAAAUUUAUAAUGUUUCUACAACAAAAUUUUGAAAUGUUCCCCCUUUUUCGUAUUUUAUUGACAAAAUGACCUAAUUGUUUUGCAGGGUACCGUCGUCUUGGAAUAAAAUUAGACAUUUAACAGUUACUUUGCCAAAUCUGAAUUUUAUAAAUUUUGGACAUACACGUCUGAAGCAAAAUUUUUAUUUUUUUUACUUUAUUUUUUAAGUAUCACUGAUAGAUAGUCUUAACUGUUUAUGGUUAAGAUUUACAGACAUUACGAUGGGAUUACUUUUUUUUUAUAAUUUAGUUGGAUUUUGUUUUAUGAAACUUGGACAUAAUAUUAGCUUUAAGACAAAGUUAUAGCAAUUUAAAGACAAUUUAUAAUAAACAAAGCUGUAUUUUAC